AAAACGGCCCUUUUCAGGGCCACCACAUUUAAUGAAAUCUUACUCGU
rfam:Macrostomum lignano unitig_24653, whole genome shotgun sequence.